rnacentral:rRNA from 1 species
UACAGAGGUCUCAAGCGUUGUUCGGAUUCAUUGGGCGUAAAGGGUGCGUAGGUGGCGCCGUAAGUCGGGUGUGAAAUUUCGGAGCUUAACUCCGAAACUGCAUUCGAUACUGCGGUGCUUGAGGACUGGAGAGGAGACUGGAAUUCAUGGUGUAGCAGUGAAAUGCGUAGAGAUCAUGAGGAAGACCAGUGGCGAAGGCGGGUCUCUGGACAGUUCCUGACACUGAGGCACGGAAGGCCAGGGAGCAAACGGG